rnacentral:rRNA from 1 species
GACGAACGCUGGCGGCGUGCUUAACACAUGCAAGUCGAACGAAGUGGCGAACGGGUGAGUAACGCGUAAUCAACCUGCCCUUCGGGGGGGGACAACAGUGGGAAACGCCUGCUAAUCCCGCAUACUGAUGAAGGGGAUUGCGUCGGAUUGGCUAGUUGGGGGGGUAACGGCCGACCAAGGCGAUGAUCAGUCGCCGGUCUGGGAGGAUGAACGGCCCCAUUGGGACUGAGACACGGCCCAGAAUCCGAAGGGAGGGAGAAGUGGGGAAUCUUCCGAAAUGGACGAAAGUCUGACGGAGCAACGCCGCGUGAGUGAUGACGGCCUUCGGGGUGUAAAGCUAUGUUAAUCGGGACGCGGUACCGGAAGAGAAAGCCACGGCUAACUACGUGCCAGCAGCCGCGGUAAUAC